UUUACUGGCUUUAAUUCAUCUUGCCAACAAAUUUCUAGGGAUUUUUACACUUUCUGCCCUCUCCUUUACUACAGUCCAAUUCAGUUUAGUUUAUACCUCUGACUUUUUAUAAUGAGUAAUCAAUUCUGAAUUAAAUUUCAGUGCUUUUAUCUUUCCAAUUUGUAGCUAUAUAUAUAUUGUUCUUGAAGGCACUGAAGCAAAAGCAAACAAUUCGAAGCCACAAUUCGAAGACUUGGCCUCAAAAUUUCAAGUUUUGGUUGAAGAAGUUGCCUACAUAAGCUUUCAGGUCAUUCAAGAAAAUGAAUAACAAUGCUGAGAGUCCGAAACUUGAGUUGAAACUGAAUUUAUCCCCACCAAGGGCAAGUCUACAAGUUCAAUCCCCCAACAGAUCUGUUUCAUCUAUCGAGAUAUCGCCUAGAAGUUCAUGCAUGUCCCAGGAAGGCAGCCCGGACGACACUUACUUGAGCAGCCCUGAGGCCACUUCCAUGAUGCUGGUUGGGUGUCCUCAAUGUCUCAUGUACGUCAUGCUAUUCAAGGAGGAUCCAAAAUGCCCCAAAUGUAAGAGCACUGUUUUGCUUGACUUUCAGCAUGAAGACGGGAACAAGAAAUCUAAGAAGUGAAGAGCAAUGUAUCCUCUCUUGAAUCUCAAUCAAGGGAUGUUUCUAGUACUCUUAGGAUUUAGGUUUUGUCUAGUACUCUUUAGGAUUUAGGUUUUGUUAAAUUUGUAAAAACGCAUUAGUAACCUAGUCAUGAAAUGUUUGGUACGUUAAACUGCACUGUAUUAGACGUCGUUAAGCAGGUGGAACAAAUGAAAUGUUUGAUGACUA